CCCGCACAAGCGGUGGAGCAUGUGGUUUAAUUCGAUGCAACGCGAAGAACCUUACCUGGUCUUGACAUAUCUAGAAUCCUGCAGAGAUGCGGGAGUGCCUUCGGGAAUUAGAAUACAGGUGCUGCAUGGCUGUCGUCAGCUCGUGUCGUGAGAUGUUGGGUUAAGUCCCGCAACGAGCGCAACCCUUGUCCUUAGUUACCAGCGGGUUAAGCCGGGAACUCUAAGGAUACUGCCAGUGACAAACUGGAGGAAGGCGGGGACGACGUCAAGUCAUCAUGGCCCUUACGACCAGGGCUACACACGUGCUACAAUGGUAGGUACAGAGGGCAGCUACACAGCGAUGUGAUGCGAAUCUCAAAAAGCCUAUCGUAGUCCAGAUUGGAGUCUGCAACUCGACUCCAUGAAGUAGGAAUCGCUAGUAAUCGCGGAUCAGAAUGCCGCGGUGAAUACGUUCCCGGGCCUUGUACACACCGCCCGUCACACCAUGGGAGUUGAUUGCACCAGAAGUGGAUAGCUUAACCUUCGGGGAGGCGUUCACCACGGUGUGGUUGAUGACUGGGGUGAAGUCGUAACAAGGUA
rnacentral:rRNA from 1 species